rnacentral:rRNA from 1 species
CAGCCGCCGCGGUAAUACGAAGGGGGCUAGCGUUGCUCGGAAUCACUGGGCAUAAAGGGCGCGUAGGCGGCCGAUUAAGUCGGGGGUGAAAGCCUGUGGCUCAACCACAGAAUUGCCUUCGAUACUGGUUGGCUUGAGACCGGAAGAGGACAGCGGAACUGCGAGUGUAGAGGUGAAAUUCGUAGAUAUUCGCAAGAACACCAGUGGCGAAGGCGGCUGUCUGGUCCGGUUCUGACGCUGAGGCGCGAAAGCGUGGGGAGCAAACAGGAUUAGAUACCCCUGUAGUCCCUGUCUCUUAUAA